UUGUGGGCAAUGGAGCCAUUGCAGAGAUGCCUUUGGCCAGGAAGUCUGGGGAGAGCAUUUAUUAUUUUCUGACAUGGUCCAGAUGUAGUAAAGAGAACAGUCGUUGGAUUGGGGACCUGGAGACCCAUGCUUCUGACCCCGAGGCUCUCUCUGAGGCUAGCAAGCUGGGCUGCCGGGGGCACAUUGUCGAUGUCUCUGAGACUUAGCUUUCUCAAGACUAAUCUCAAAUGCCGCUUUCUGCAUAAGGUGCUUCCUGGUCUCUCCUCCCCCUCAGAUUCCAGAAUCUCCUCCUUUCCGCAGGAUUAGAUGAGUACGCAGGAUUCCAGUGUGACCUCAUUAUGAUUGAAAAAGACAACCAGACUGGAUCCCAGAGUUCUGUGGGAGUUAUGAAACCAGUUGUCAAGUUGACAAUAUGUAAAUACUGAGGAAAUAAGACACAAUGCCAAUGAGCAGCCCGUCAGUGCAAAGUGAUUCUUCUAAGCAACACAGUUGGGAAAUGUUCACAGCUGCCUGGGUUCUAGUCUUCUCUGCAAUGUGAUCAUCUCUAAAAACAAAAACUAAAUGCACAUUUUAGUCCAAAUGAAAAUCUGAAAAGUGAAUAUACAAUGAGUCUACCGUGGAGUGUUUG